rnacentral:RNase_P_RNA from 1 species
AAAGUUAAUAAAAAACAGUCGCUUUUAUCACAAAAAAUAAAAGAGGAAAGUCCGGACUCCGCAGGGUAUGGUGCCAGAUAAUUACUGGGAAGUGUAAACUUACGAAUAGUGCAACAGAAAAAAUACCGCCAUAGUAUAAAAAAAAUAAAAUGUGGUAAGGGUGAAAAGGUAUGGUAAAAGCAUACCGAUAUAUUAGUAAUAAUAUAUGUCGAUGUAAACUCCACCAGGAGCAAGGCUAAAUAUAAGUUUGUAUAACCCGUACUAUAAACUUGGGUAAGCUGCUUGAAAUAAUAAGUAAUUAUUAUUCUAGAUAAAUGACUGUUCUAGACAGAAUCCGGCUUAAAAAAUAACUUUAUAA